UACGUAGGGUGCGAGCGUUGUCCGGAAUUAUUGGGCGUAAAGAGCUCGUAGGCGGUGUGUCGCGUCGGCCGUGAAAACCUGUGGCUUAACUAUGGGCUUGCGGUCGAUACGGGCAUCACUGGAGUUCGGCAGGGGAGACUGGAAUUCCUGGUGUAGCGGUGAAAUGCGCAGAUAUCAGGAGGAACACCGGUGGCGAAGGCGGGUCUCUGGGCCGAUACUGACGCUGAGACGCGAAAGCGUGGGUAGCAAACAGG
rnacentral:rRNA from 1 species